UGCCUGUGUGUGCCCAAGGUGGGGGAUAUUGAUGGUCUGCUCGGGGUGUGGAUGUGCUGUCCCCAUCCCCUUGGUAGAGCUACAGAGACUGGGGGCAGCUCCAUGGGGGCCUUGGAGAUCCCAGGGCAAGCAGGACCACCCCAGUCUGGUCAAUGGGGUCUUAAAUCAGCUCAUCCACCACACCUGGAGCAGGAAAUUACUCUGCUCCAGCCACCUGGAGCAGAAGCAAGGAGCUGGCAAGGAAACAUGGGCAAUGUACGUAAAGGUAGGCACGAAGUAGCAGGCCAGGAACACAAGCCAACAGCUAAAAGAGCAAGCCAAGGGGAAGUCGAUAAAAUCAACUUAAAAUACAUAUGAAUGAAAAAAAAAUUAAUAAGCCAAAGCUGUAUUUAAUGUCAAUAUUGUUGUAGUAGUCUGAGAAAUCAUGAAUAAAUAAAACCAGAUGGUGGAUUGAUCAGACAACACCAAGAAAGGCACUUGUGAAGAGUAUUUUCUUCUCAAGGCACACAGACUGAUACGCGUGUUUCUCAUUUGCUUUAAUGGGAAUCAUGUUUGCAAACUCGUGUGCAUUGAGAAACAGGUAAAAUUCAGUGAUUAGGGCUUGUUUUGACACAAUUAUUUCCUUAUUCUCCCAGAAAGUAUUAACUUCUGUUUCAAAAGUCUUCCCCCUUCAUAUUACAUGAUGUAUCACAGCCACCUGCCAAAUCCACCAAAUUAUUCAAAAAUACGCUGACAGAACAAGGACCAGCGUUUUAAAAUGUGGUUAAUUUGUGGUGUUAUCGAAGAGUAACCCCCCUCCAGAUUUUCCCAGCCAGCCCUACAAGCAGAGCAUCCUUGAGCCUCCUCUGAGCACCCGCCGCCCCUGGCAGGGAGCCGUGCAGCCAGGGCCGAGGGGUGCUGAGUGCUCUUGGAGACACUGCUUUGGAGCUGCUCAGCUCCUCGCCCAGCUUCGCAUCUAUCGAGUUUUCUGGGCAGAGAGUGCAUCGUAAUAUCCCAUUUAUAAAGUUGGGAAGAGAGGAAGCGGCAUGAAGAUGAGCUACGUAUUCCUGGCACAGAGGGCUCGCUAUUAGGCCCAAUUCCAGAAGAUCGUUUCAGCGUGCGCUUUCUGAAACAUCUUAUUUUUAUUAGGCUCUUUCAUUAGGUAGGUCCUUAGCUAUGCUGCAGUUGCAGAGAGCAAGCAAUUUGUCUGUCUGUCUCUCACUAGUUCUCAUUGCCAAGCUAUGCAGCCUCCAGAGACUGAAAUAACAUCCUUAACAUCCCCUUGAAAGUGCAUUAUUUGCCUUAAAAACUAACUUCUAUUAUUAAAAUCAAAGUGAGAGCAGUAUGGAAGUGGCCAGGUAUACAAUUGUCAGAGCAUGUUCAAUUACGUGCCGUUUUUAGCCCAACUUUAGCGCUCCUCAUCAGCAGCAAAACCAACAGCUUUGAGUUUCUUCCCCGAGACCUGAGGGGAUGUGGCAGUUGUGGCAAAGCACGGCUGGGUGGAAAAUCCCACCAGUGCAUGGGAAGGGUAAUGGGGUGAGAGCAGGGGGGUGGCCCUCUUGCAUGGGGUCACCCAGUUUGUGGUCACUGCGGGCCCCCCAGCAGCACUGGUACCAGCUGGGGGGACUGGUGCACAGGAGCAGGGCCACCUCGAGAGCACAAAGCCUGUUUGUGCCUUGCAAGCCGAGUUUUUCUCUGCCAUAAGAAAUUUGUGCUCAGAAAACCUCCUCUGUAGCCUUCAUGGUGUGUUGCUUCAUGCUUUGCUCCCUUCCUGAGCUCCUUUCCAACCUGCUUGUGUAGAUCACAGCCCAGGUGUUCUUCUGUUUGCGUGGCACCUACGAGGGUGAGAUCCAAUUUUUGGCUUGUGCUCUUCAUGUGUGUGACAGUUCUGGUUCAUCUGCCCCGGGAGAUUUGUUUUUCCCCUGGAAAUGAUGAGGUUGCUGUGGAAUGGCAUGAGGCGCUAUCAGAAGGAAUAGGCAAGAGGAACAUUAACAGUGCAGAAAACACAGGAGACAUAUCAACAGGUAUUUCUGAGAGGCGUUUGGGGAGAUGUGCUCAGCACUUGCUAAGGGAAACAACUUGCAGAGCCAUCGGCCCGAUUGCUAGCGCACUUUAUUGCAGUUUAUGAAAUCGGAUACAAUCCAGAUGUGCACGCAUGCCCAUGGUAGCUGUGUGGCUGGGCAGCUCGCUCUGUGCACACCUUGUCCUGGGUGACUUAAGGGACUGCCUGUGCCCUUCAUGAUGAGACCAAAACUCCCAAAAAGCAGGGCAGCCCGUGUCAGUCUGAACCCAGCUGCGGCUCCGUGUCGGCUACCCAAGCAGCAGGUCUCCAGCAGAGCAGGGACAGGAGACCCGUGUGUUAAACCAACCAGCACGGGGAUUCAGUCUUCCCAUUAAAAAGAAGAUUUUGCGACAAGAUGUAGGCACACAACAUGGACAGGAGAGGCGGAAAGGGGCGAUUUGGCUGAGGUUUAGGAAAUCCUGAAGGCAGCAGGGUGUGCGAAGGCCAUUGCCUGUCCCCGGGGCAGGGGACACUGCUGUCCCCACUGCCCCCUGCCACUCUCACAGCCCCGCUCCCCAUCCCUCCUGCGCUGCCACGAGCCCCUGCAACAGCAGCUGCCCGGAGAAUACCUCGCCGCUCCGGCAUAAGACGCAUGGAUCAAUUAACUCAGUUGCUGGGUUUCGCUUUUGAAUCAAUUAACUGGAACUGAAAUUAACUAAAAAUAUCCUUUGCUUAUUAACAGACCGAACUAAUUGCAAUAAAAGGUGGAAAAAAAAAAGAAGAGACAAACACAGAGAUGCUAUUUGUCACAGCGAAUCUCUGCCCUCAUCUUUAUUGCAAAUAUUUCUCAUUUGCUCAGCGGACUAAUGACUCCACAACCUCUGCUUCGGCGGUGUCACCCCGCCACGUGUUCCCACCACCCCCAGUGCCACCCAGCUCAUUGGGGCCGGGACGGGGCCACUCGUGUUGUCCCCACCAGCCUUCCUGCCCUGGCUGCUCCGCGGGGCCUGGCAGCGUGCAGCCCUUUUGUCUCGCCUUCCUUCCCUUUGUUUCUGGCUCCCGUUCUUUGUUUGCCUGCUUGUUUCCAUUUUUUUUCUUCUUUUUUUUUUCUUUUUUUUCUGUUUGCAUCCAUCAUUCCCUUGCUCACCUCUCCCUUUGCCCCCACCCCAUCCCGAGGAUUUCCCUCUGCCCCCCCAACCCUUUCUCCCUUCCCGUUUCCACCAUCCUCUUCCCCUUCCCUCCAUCACCGCCCUGUCCUGCUCCUUCCCUCUCUCUUCUCGCCUGCAAUUAGCGCUAAUCAGAUACCUGAGCAGAUCCACAAAGCUAUUAGUGGCUUCCCCCUCAUCCCCGGGGGAGACGAGCAGAGCUGGACAAUUAGGCUUUUCCAUGCAGCCCCCACUCUGAUAAACACAAUAAACAAGGCGGAGAUGUGGGGACCAUGCUGGGCACGGCCGGCGAGCAUCCUUGGCUCUACACAUCAUCCCCUGGUGGCACCCAGUGCACGGGGUGCUCCUGGCCCCUCUGCCUGCCCCAUCUCCUGCCCUCAUGCCAGAGAACCCCAUUUUUUGGCUCCUCGGGGGUGCUUUUGGCCGGGACGCAGCCCUUCCUGCGGGGCCGAUGCGCGGCGUUUGUUGCAGAGAAUUUCCCCGCUCGCUCGGUAGCACGGCGCACCCCUCCUGCUGCUGGAUCUAUGAGCUGUGUGUGUGUUUUGUAAUUAAGCAGUUAAUUGCACUGGAGUUCUUGAUUAGCUUUGGGGGAUGGUAAUGUUCUAGCAGGAUGAGAUGUUGUGUACAGUUCAGAAUCAUUUACAGAAAUUGGAGCUAAUUUUGCUGUCUGUGCUUAUUACUGCAUUAAUUUAAUUUGGGUUGCUUUUAGCUCAUUAACACAUCUAAUUAAUUCGUUGACAUCACUAUUAAGAUGUCUCUUUGAAAUUGGCGUCUCCAGAUAAUCAGGAUGGAAGAGGCUGACAGAUCAGGCGCGAAGCUGACUGGGAAAAUGGGGAAGGAAAAAAAAAAAAAAAGGACGACUAAUGAAUUUUCCAUCAGAAUCGCACGGUUUGGCAGAGUUGGUAUCAGAGAGGCAGAGACAGAGCUAGCGAGACAGAGAAAGGGCGUGAGAGAGACAGCAGUGGUAAAGGGAGACACGUCCUCUCCAAAAUAUUAUAUUUGUUAGGAGGGCAAGCAAGACGCGUGAGAGGACAAUAAUUAUUCUUUAGCGAAUCGGCAUCCAGGCUGCAUAUUUCUUAGCUAAUUUUCCUCUCUCCCUGGUUUUCCAUCGUGGCCUUUUGGCUGCUUUUAUUUUCUCAGCUCUGCAAACAGUUUGCAGUGCUGGCGCCGGGGGCUUCGGUGUCCCCGUGCUGCCCCCCCUGCAGCUGUGGGGUGGCUGUGGAGGGGACGCCGGCCGUGCCCUGUGCUGCAGCGAGCGUGGGGUUUGGGGGGGGACAGAGCAGUGCAAGCCAUUUAUUGUUGUCGUUUAAUGAGUUAGCACAUACCGGCAGAGCCGUGCUAUCUGGCUGUUUGCUGGCCCUGCUGAAAUAAAAGAGCUCGGCUUAAACCUGCCUGGUGGAGGAGAAAUGUCGUACGGGGUUAGAGGAGCUCUGGCGUGCUGCUCCGGCUGGACAGCCCCAGUGAGGACACGCACGGUAACGCCAUGCCCUGGCCCAGGAGCUGCAGGUCCUGCCUGUGGGACCCACACUGUGCAGAACCACGUCCCCGGGAGCUGAGUGUCCCUUCUGCAGCUCCAAGAGCAUCUUCCCCAAAUCACAGAGGUCCCAGGCAGGAGGGGAGCAGGGAGCAGACACAGGUACGGUUUGUGUUUUAUUACGGCAUAAUCCCAUAGAUAAUCCCCAUCCAACCUCUUCAUACAUGUAUCCCACUUUCCCUAUGACAACAGGUACAGAAACAGGAGAAACUGCCCCCAGAACUAUUUCACACGUUUCUUUACUGGGUUUGGACUGCUUCUAGUAGGUGGUGGUGGAUGGAGGCGAAGCGGAGCCGAGACCUUCCUGUUGUAGGGCGACAUCAAGCUGUGAUGGGUGUGGGGAGGCUGUGUGCUGCGGCCAGGGUUGUCCAUCUUGGAAACUCAUGUCCUAUGUAGUUAUCUGCCUGGUUCUCUAAGGUACCAAAGCAGACCAAAAUGUGAAAGAGGGAGGCUGGUUUUAAGAGCUUAUUUUCUGGCAAUCUUGAUUUUCCCCACCACCAUCACGUUGAAAUGCCCUGAACCACGGAAUGCCUCUGUAGGUCUGUUCUACCUGGGGAGGAAAAAAAGCAGAAAUAUCCCAACAUCCUCAGUCUAACAAGUGAACCCAAGCAACCUUUUGUCCCCUGCACGGCAAGCCUGUCCCCACGAGGAGCACAGGGUGAUUUACGGCAACGCCAAGCUGCAGUUCCCACCUGGGGAAGGGAAGUUUGCUCCAGUUUCCAUUCAAUCUCACUCAAGGAGAGAAUAUUAGAAACUCCACUCUUUAGUACUUCAUUAAACACUUUAGUUUAAUAGCAUCCUCCAGGGAAUCCCAAUCUGGACCACGUGAGCCAGGAGUAAACAGCUGCAUCAAUUAACCCCAUAAUCUCGAGGGUGCUAUUAGAAGGUGAGAUACCCUUAGAAAGUGCAUAUGCCUGCAAUUAGGCUUAAAAUACUUAUGUGUCAAUAGCUUUAGUUAUUUGUGCUCUCUGCUAUUGAUCUUGCUUAUGUUUUCCACUUUAAACGGUCUUUCUUACUUCAUCAAUAAAUUAAGUGCUGUUUAGAUUUAUUCACUUUUUCUAUUACACGGUGCAAGCUCCUGAGCUCCUGACCCAGCUCCAUCCAAGGCUGAGAGCUCCAACCCUCUUUGCUGGCAGCUCCAUCUCACUCUUGUUGUGUGGAGAAAGCAGAUGAUGAGGACCUGCUGGCCUGGACUGACCAUCAGCAUGGCUCAGAUGGGGCAGUGGUGACGUUUGGGAUGGGUUUGCUGGAUAUAUGCCACUUUCCAUGUUUGUUUUCGCUGCCUUGGUCAGAUUUCCAGGAGAUCUUUGAAGGACCAGCUGUCCACACUGUGAACAUUGCAGAAAGGACUGGGUUUCUGCCACACGGAGAACCUGGGGAAGGGCAGGAUCUAUGAGACCACGCAGAAGAUGGGGCUUUUCUUUCCAUGAAAGGGCUUGGUGAGAACUUUGCAUCCUCUGAAAUGGGCAGGGAGCGAUGCCACCAGCAGUCACCUGCACUGGGAACCAGUGGGGUUGGAUGAAGGGCUGCUCCUCUUCUUUUCCUACUUUUUCUUUUUUUUUUUUUCCACCAGCCUUUCUGUAAGGAAGCCGUGCAAUUAUUUUAUUGGAGAAUAGUUCUAGAGGUAAAGGUUUGCUUUGUUCUGUUUUGUUUUCUACUGGUCAUCCUGGCUUUUCUGUGCUUUGUUUAACAGAAGUUGUGGUGUUGCAGGAGGAGCGAGGGUGGAAAUAAAGACAAGACUGGGUAUUUAAAGAACAGCUUUUUAGAUAGUUUGCAUUGUUCAGUUUGCUGCUUGCCUGUUCUCAGCUUCUUUAGGGCCUACCCGGUGUGGAAUAGUGGAUGCAGUUUUUUAUUUUUAACCAGGACCAAAUGGAGCCUGGCAGGCCCUUGUUGUUACAAUUAAGCCAUGUGCUACUUUCCAUAACUCAUUAGCCCUUUAGUUUCUGGAUUAAUUCAAUGUGCAAAUAAUGUCACAAAUUGAAUAUUACUGGACUUCUAUUGAGGAUUAAGCGGCAGUAAAAGCAUAUUGCUGUGUCUUCAUCCUGCUUUGCACGACUGUGGUUUGUCCAGCAUAGCAAGCGCAUAGUUGGCUACCUGAGAGCUGUGUGGCCUUCUCUCCUGGACUGUUUUUUUUAUUAUUUGUUUGGUUUUUUGUUUGUGUGUGUAAUAAGCCAGAAGAGAAAAUUAGAAGAGAAAAGCACCAACUGUGCAUGUAAAAGUGGGGAUGCACAAAAUGAGCCUCCUCUAUCACUUCUAGUUCUUUGCAGGUAGAAAAUGGGUGUGGGAUUGCUUAAAUCAGCAUGGGCUCCUCUACUGCUGCUGCAGAGAUUACGCAGAAAACCAAAUUUUGGUAGGGUGCAAAGUCCCAUGCCAGCCCAAGAUCCUCAUGGGGUGCCAGUGCCUGACCCCAAAGCUCUAGGGGUGAUUUUGGGACCCAUGGGUGGUCACUGCAAUGCCAGCGUGAGCCCGAAGCUCUGAACUUCAGGCAUGUCGGUGGUGCCGACGCAGGGAGGAUGGCUCCACUGCCACGAGAACUUCCUGGGCACUGCUGAACAAAAUGGGUGCAGCUUUCUUUUAAUGCACUGAAGUGGAGGCAAAUUUCAAUCUAAUAAUGUAAAGCAGCAAUAACCAUUAUAAUUAAUUUAUAUAAAAGACAUUAUAAAAUUACACUUGAUGCAUUUAAAUCCCAUCCAGGAGCAGUGCUCGUUUUCCAGUUAAGCUAUGGGCUGUGCUAAGGCAGACGGGGAAAGAGGUAUUUCAAUAUUUCUUAUAAUUUUAUAUUCUUUCUAAUAUCUCUCAUGCUAAUUUCAUUAUGCAACACAGUCAGCACAGUGAUGUAAUUAUUGAAAAGUAAUUUUGCAAUAAAUGGAUUUAAAUGUGUUCGAGUCCAUUGUAAAUUCAAUCUCUUGGUAAAGGUGGAUUGAACAGGCAAGGAAAAAGGGAGCUGGGACGUUGCUGGGUGAAAGCUGAGAAGUCCCAGGCAUCCCAUGCCGAGCAUCCUCUUACACCAAGUAAUAACAUCCACUUUGGAUGGAAACUGCUCCCAGAGCUGACUUCCCUUCCCUUGGGCACCCACAGCAGAGGGCACGUCCAGCGUUCAAGGUGGGGGCAAUUUAGGAAGUCUCCUCCCGGAGCAGGGCAUCGCUGCCACUGGGUGUCUGCACCGCUCUUGCAAAGCGGUCCCGUGUAGGUGUCUUAGGCUGGAUUAAGGGCUCAGCUACUGGGCAGGGACAUGAAGAUAUUCUUCUGCAUAAGACACGGGAGAUGUGAUUUCUAUUCCUGGCUCUGUCAGAGACUUCCUGCGUGAGACUGGGCAAGCGGUAUAUCAUCUCUGUGCUUCCAUUUCCUCAUCCGCACAAUAGGGAUAAAGAGUGCUUCCCCAGCUCAUCGGUGAAAUUAAUGUAACAUAUGUAAAGUGCAUGUAUAUCCCCAGAUGAAAGGUGCCAUUGUAAUAAUAUUCAAAUUAUUAUGGAAAAUAGAUAAAGCGACCAACCCCUGCUAAAUGAUCGUCUAGCUUUUCACCAGAUUCAUGAGAUCCACGUAGAAUGCGAUAAGAAAACCUCAGAUGUCAAGUGGUUUAGAGUCAGACUCUUCUCAUGAAACAGAGCUGGCUGUGUCUUUUAAGUGGAGGAUGAGAUAGGGAAGAAUUUGGGACUUGGGAAGUUGUCACCCUGGUUAAGCUGGCCGGGAUUUUUUGGAUGCUGCCAUGCACCUAGAGGGGAAGCUGUUGGGGCUACAUUUCCUCACGGCCAAAUCUGGACCCAGGAACUAUUUUCUGAUGCUGAAAUCAAAGCGGUAGCAGGGCUGCUUGGUUGGUUUUCGUUUUUUGGUGGUGGUGGUGGUGUUUUUGUUUUUUUUUGGGUCCUAACAGAUGCAGACAUUUGGGAUAUCCCAGAAAGGUCCCAUGUGGCAAAGGAGGUGGCAAACGGGAGGCUGGAUGAACUGUCUCAGUAGGAACAUUUCACCCACUAUGCUCAUAUUGGACCUUCACCCAAGCAUCGCUGCAAGGUGCGUUUGGACAAGACAAAGACCUCUGUUGGAUAAGGAGCAUCCAUGUUCCUUGCAAUAGGGUUGUAUGUGAGCAGGGAUGGUAGCAGGCAGAGAUUCAGCGUUGACAGGGGUUGUUCUGAAUGUAACAGGAUCCCGUGGCAGAUGUAAACCAGACUGAAGGCACUCGCCGUGUGUUUCGCCGAGGAGGUCAGCCUAUGAAUUUCCCUGUGAAAACAUCGAGGCGAGGCUGCCAGCAUUACCCGUUGCAGAGCUGGGUGCUGUUUGUGGUGACAAGUGAUGCCACUUCAGUUUGGGAACGGAGCGUGGGCAGCUGCUGAAAUGUUUUGGUGCAGAGCUUUUUUGGCUGAGCUUCUCAUGAGGAGUAUGAAAUGGUGGAGUGUGAAAUCAGGCUGAGCUCCAGGCUGUCCCUGACUGUCCCCCCUCCAUCAGUGAACUGCGCUGAUGGCAUCUGAGGGACCAGAGUGGCCUCACCUCCUGCCAGAUGAUGGGUGGGACAGGGCUUGCAGAGUCCCUAAGACACAUUUGUGUUUUUUUAAUGUGGGUAGGGGCAGACCGCGGUCACCAGGAGCCAAGGGAGCGACAGGCAGCCCCUGUGCAAUGGGAUAAUGGGUGCGUGGGGACAGAGGCUGAAAGCAAAACCAGCACAGGGAGCCUCGAGCAGGGCACGGCCGAGGUGGGUGCCAGCUUGGGGCUGUGUGUACUGCGGAGAGCAAGGUAACGGGAGAGUUUGUUGAUAGCUGUUUUUUCUGUUUUAUUUUUGCUCUUAGUGCUUUGAGCAGAAAGGUGCUGUAUCUGCCUGCAUGCCUCUGUUCCUGCAGCCAGGGAUCCCAUUUAUUUGUGGGUCAGAGCAGUGCACCAGGAGCUGCUGCCGAGCUCCUCAGCCCGUUAAUGUAUUUCGCUGGGACAAGCCCAGGAAGGGAAGAGGUCCGGGUUAUGCUAGUUUCCAUCCCAUUCUUGUGUCACACCCAAUUUUCCCCAGCAAUAACUUAAAGUUUUCUUUCCAGAGCCUCGAGGAGAGCACCAGCCCUGCCAGCCAGCUGUGCCUUUGGCUCUCGGAGGAUUGCUGCCCAGCUCUGCUCUGCCCACCUGGCAGCAAGCAGCGGGUGCUGCUUUGGGAUACCCCACCGCUGCUGCAGCCCCCUGGGCUCUCUCCUCAGGCAGAAAUGUUGCUGCAGCCUCAGGGAUCGCUGCUGGCUGCCUGGCUGCUGUAAGGCCCAGCACGGACACAGCGUGGCACUCUUUUCCAGAGCACGGCGCCCAGCGCCCAUGGGAGCCCAUGGGCGUCCCCGUCCCCACCAGCAGCCGCAGCCGCAGCCACCCCGGGGCUCACCCAGCCCCGCUCACCCCCUGCACACCCCACUCAAGCCCCCCCAGCUGAUUUAUCUCCUCCAAAGCUGGUGCCUUGCUGAGUAUUUUAGCUCCGGCCGGCAGCCACCAGAGCAGUGCCAGGGGUUUGCCUCGGGGAAGUGCUCGGAGGAUGCUCGGAGUGAGUAUCAGGAUGUGUGCAUCGAUAAACCACGAGUGUUUUGGAGACAGAGCUGCCAGAAAACAGUUUCCAGAGGGGUAAAAUCUUCAUUUCUAAUCCUGGGAGAACUGUGAGGAUGUGUCUUGGAGGUGGUGUCGGUUUGCCUUGUUUUGGGGGGAUAUAACCUGCUCUUUCAGAGGGGAUGUGGCCCUAAUCCGGAUGAGGACCCCCAAGUGACAGCUGAAGGACCAGGAGGUGGGACUGCACCCGGGGGCAGGAUCCAUGCAGCCACCCCCUCCAGGAAACACCACCUGGGGAAAGCCUGCCUCGUGCCCAGGGAGAAGAGAUUUCUUAGCCUAGAAAACCCUGAGGAGCUGGGCUGGGCUUGGCCCCAGGUGGCUGGUGACGUUGGACAAGUCUCGUGGUGCUUUCAGGUGGGUCCUACAACACUCACAGCCCCCCAGGAGUGAUGCCAUGGGUGCAAGCAGCCUGCUCACAACCCCACUGGGACCCCCCCAAAAAGCAGACAUCAGCAGGGCUCCGGAGCACGAGGGAUGCAGCUCCCAUUUAAAUAAUUGUUGCCAGGGUUUCGGCGGUGACUCAUAGUCUCCGAGACAGGAUCCCUUGUUAGCAGGGAUCUGGGGAACACCCUCCCCGUGUUGCCAAGGCACCUCGACCAGAGGGACCUGCACCUCCUUCUGCUCCUUCAUUUGUUUUCCAAAACACUCGCCCCAGUGCAGUCGGGGUGCACGUGUGUAAGGGAGAGCUGUGUGCACCCCAAAAGAGCUCUGCUCUGCAGCAGCAGUGGGGCUCCCACGUCUGUGGUUUGUUUUAAGAGAUAGGAGAGGCUGAGAAAGAUCUGCACUCAGAUAUUUUGCUGGGCCAAAAUUCUUGGGGAUCAGUCUGGUUUCUUUGCCAGCAGGGUGUCACCAACAUCCCGAAGUCCCAGCACAGCAAACUGUCCUUGGCCAGGUGGGCACCUUGAGGAAGGACAAACUUGGGAUGCUGAGACAGGAGGGGAGCAAACUCACUCAAAGCUAUUUUAGCUUUCAAAUUCCCUCCAGGCUUAAAGCAUGCUUUAAUCUUCGGGAUUUUCUUCUGUUUUCUUUCCAACAUCUGGUUUGGAAAGCUCUUUUUCCAGUGGAAUAGGAACAGAGCUGUGCUUUCCCCUACACCUUGGCAUUGGCUGCCUGCCAUCAGUGGUGGCAGCUCUCCCCAGCCCGAGUCCCACAUCCCAGGGAGGGUCUGCCAAAGAGGAGGUUUGCCUUUCUGCUGAGAUACCACAGGUUUUCCUGCCUUUGGGUUGGCACUGCUUGUCCACGCUGAGCAGGGAGGGAUCUGCUCCAUUACCCGCCUUGAGCUGCCUCCCUGUGCCCCGCCAGCCCCAGUGACGUUGGGGAUGGACUUGCUCAACUCAGUUCAUCCUCAGCCUCCAGACAGCACGGGGAGGCCCAGAAGGCAGAGAGAAAAUCUCCACUCCAUACAACAGCACGUCCCUCCUUGUGCUGCUGGGUUUUGCUGUCCCUAACAAAGUCCCUCCCUCCCGCAGCAGACAAAGCCCAGGGAAGAAAUAGUGGGACUUAUUUUCUGGGGCCAGAGUCCUAGCGGGACCUCAUUUUAAAUCACCUAAAUUUGAGGAAUAUGUAUUUUAAAUAUGAUGCUAUAAAAACGUUGUAAAUAUUUAAUUUUAUUUUUAUUAAAUACUAAAUUGAUGAUGGCUGACACUUUAUUAAAGUGUCAAAGUGAGUGUUCCUACAUUCUAAUUACUUAUUCUAACAAGGAGGCAGCCUCGUCAGGAGCUGCGCGCGCUGGCAUGCGCAGGCGAGGGGCGCUCCCGUUAAGUAACACCUAUUAAACUAUCAUUUGCACCUAGAGGCAUCUCAUUAAUAUCUCAACUGGUGAGACUGCGCUGCCAGUGCCUACCUGACCCGGGGCAUUGACAGGAGAAAUGGCUCCAGGAGGCCUUUCCUCACUCCAGGCUCUCCUGUACAAAUAAUUCCUAUAAAAUUAAUAACGACUAUUCCACUUAAUUGAAUUCCUGAUAAAUGAAGAUUCUCCCAAGCCCCGUUAUAUGCAUCCAGGAGAUGCAGGAGGGCUGCUGCACUACAGUCUGGGGAAAGUUUUGUCCUUCUCUCUCCUCCCUGCUUUCUUUGUCUCUCCAUGCCUCUUCCCACCCUCUCCAGCUGCUCCCUCCCUGUCGUCCUUCUCCUUCUCCUCCCAUACCUGUCUGCUCUUUUCUGCAGCACUUUCCCUUCUGUCUCUUCCACGUGAAUCCCUCCUACUUCUCUGCCUCUGCCUGGAUCUAUCUUUACAGUAUCUCCAUCGUUUAUCUUCCUUCUCUAAACUCCUUCAUUUCUCUCUUCCCCCUCCAUCUUUCUCGCCCUUCCUUCCACCUUCCAUUUUGGUUUUCAUCUCACCAUCUGCACCAUUUUUCUCAGGUUUCCUUUCAAGCCCUGAUCCUGUCAUUAUAGAGGAAUCUUCUCCCUGCUGUGAGACCUCUGUUGGAUGGGGACGAGGCAGUGCAUCUCCAGAUCUGUCCGGUCACCGAGGAGAUACAUCCUCCCUCAAAGAGGAGAUGGCCAUCACCAAAACAUCUCAUGGAACAUGCAGGCCUCCUUUCAUCCCAUCUUCCCCCAUGGACAGAGAGACAACUGUGUAAGUAGAGGUACCUGUCCUCAAGACGUGGUCAAUACAGUCACCACUUGGCUGCCAAAUCAUUACAAGAGAGGUAAUGGGGUUCUGCAAGGGACAUUUUGCAGUCUGAGGGGGUUUUUGUUGCCGUUGUUGAACUGCAGGGCUGUCUUUAAUCUCAUUUCCUCUGCUCCUGGCAGUAAGGGCGCUGUCUUUUUGCUGUUAUCCUCCACAGGUGCACUACUGGGGUUUGGCUGUUGGGGAUUGCUUUUUGUCAUUCCUGUAAUAAAUGCAAAAAUACUCACUAAAAAAUUCCAUUCUAUUUUUAUUUCAUUCCAAUUAGGAAAACAAACUAGAAACUACACUUAGUAUUAAAAACACCAACUCAGGAUUCAAAGCAAGCAACUUAAAAAUAAAUAAAUACAUAAUGGAAAAAAAUAUCAUUAAAUAACACAUGAAUAACAAGUAAUGGGAUUUUAAUCUUCUUGCUAGGAGAGGCUACUUCUUCAGCACUAAAGGUGACUCACAAGCAGCAUCACUCCAGGAAAGUUAAAAAUGAUAAUUCAGUAAGACUCAAGGAUUAUGUGGGACUCGAGGAGGGCUAAACCAGCCUUUUGCAGGGGGCUGUCUCCUAGUGAUGAAUGAAGCUGGAAAACCUGGUCAGUUCAGAGCUGAUGAAAAAUAAAACACCAUCACCUCUUUGUGAGCACCCAGGUAGGCUGGAAGUCACUGCCCCACGGUGCCAUGAAGUCUGAGAGCUGAACAGGGUUCAAGAGGUCCAGCAUUUGUGUGGAUAGCUACAUCCCAAAUUGUAGGAAUCAAUAUUAAAAUAGAAAGAACAAACAAAAUAACACCACCCUCUGAAGAUGUCUGGAGAGUAUCUCUGGGUGCCUGUACCAGCACUUGCCUAACCCUCUGUUGUCAAAAUUAGGAAGAAACUUCCUGCAGUGCCAAGGUACUCCCAAAAUGUGGUUUCUUGCAGCAGCUUCUGGGGCAUCCAGUGGUAGAGCUGAGACCUCUGGGGCACCUGGAAAUGGGGCUGUAGUGUCCAGUUUGCACUUGAGCGGUGCAUUUCUGUUCGUGCAUACAUCUGUGGGGGCUUCCAGAACAAAGUGAGAGAGGUGGAGGUGGAAGAAGAACAGAGUAAGGCAGAGGAGAAGACUGGUCUUGCAGUGUCAGUGGAAAAGCCAGUGGGGAGGAUGGGACAGACCUGAAAGGAAGAAGAAAUAGGUGGAAGAGGAGGAAGGAUUUCUCUAAGGAGUGGUAGGAUUUUAAAGGCCAGUGCUAGAUGAAUUUCAUCACUGAAAUCCAACAGCAGUUACUCGGGGAAAUACUUUUGAAUAUCUUGAACAAAGUUGGUGCUUGAUGUGGGGAUGGUGGGUGAGCUACGAAACCAGAAAUAGGCAAAUAUGAACUUUGAGGGAGAGGUGCAGGGAAAGAGCUGGGAAAAAAAUGUGUAAGCAAAAGAGAGCACUUAGGGGUACUGGUCUACACAAACAGUGUGUGCAGGGUGUUUUUCACAUUUUUCUCUGAAAGAGGUGACAACAAAAAGCUGUGGAAACUCAAAGAGGACGUACCUGCCGGUGGGUUUCCUUCAAGUGCAGAAAGGGACAAGUGGCAGGAGCAGGCACUGCUGGUCCACAGGCACCACGCUGCCCUCCCCAUCCCAUGGCUAGUCAUUGACAGGCAUAUAAUUUAAUGUAGAAUUUGGCCUUUCUUACAUAAGUCAUUACUUAUUCGAUUUUUGUUUUGAUUUUAAUUCAUCCGUUUGUGUGCAUUUUAGGUGCUUCAUCUGCCUGUGGUGCCUGGUGUCCCAGGUCAGAGGGAGGAGAGCACUGUUCCCCUGCUGCAGGGAAUGGGCAAGUUGUGGGUGCAUGAGUUUUGUAUGGAGAGAGGGCCAUGAAAUGGUGUUGAAUAUGGGAACACCUUGUAAUAUUUCUACAACUGCUUUGCCUGCCUUGGUUCACCCUCCCUUUCCCUCCACCAUGCCUCUUCCAAUCUCUGCUUGCAGAAUCUGGCUCUUUAUAUUUAAAGACUUUUUGGGAGCCCAUCCUGCCCACCCCUGGUGCAGGGUUACAGCUGGCCAAGAGGCUAAGAGGGGCUUCAGCGUGUCCCUUGGCUGGGGUGCUGGGGCACAGGGUGCAGGACAGGGUGCCGCAGCAUCCGCCGGUGAGCAUCCCCAUCCUCUUCGCUUGGUGGUGAAUGGGGCAGGCUGGUCGGAGGUACAGCUGCCCGGCUUCAGCUUAGUGUUUAUUUUCCAGGCUGAAAGGAAGCUUGUGAUCCCAAAGCCCUUCUGUGUUUAGCCAGACCUCUCAUUCACUUGCAGAGGAAACCCAUGUCAGCCGCUCCCCUUUGUCUCCCCUGAGCUAUUGCUUUGAAUCUGAAAGGAUUGGGUGCAGAUUUCAAGGGAUGUUCAGACAAAGGCUGUUUGAACAGCACUUGUGUAAAUAAUCCAUGAAAAACUCUUUGAAUAACCUCAAUGAAAUUUUCUCUGAAUUUGCUAUUCUUUUUCCACGGCAGCAGAAAGAAGUGGAAGUGAGGGAAGGGAGGAGAGGCGGAGGAAAGGAGGGAGAGCGGGAGGAAGGGGGUGGGAGAAGGACCCACACUUUUUUCUCUCUGCCAACUUCUCUGAAUGCCAAGAAGUAGCUUGGCUUAAAAAAAAUCUCUUUGUUAUUUUCACAGCUUUAGGAAUAAUCUCAUACGGGACCUCCGCGUCCUCAAACUUCUCCGUACAUUAAAUGUAAGGGGACACCCUUGUAUUUAACGCAGCAAGGGUAAUGUCGAGUCAGUUAAUUAUUAGCCGUAUGGUUUAAUGUUCACUUGCUGUACAUAUGUACGAAACAAUUCCCCUUUAGCAUGUCGUUUAGUUUGCAUUAAAAUGGAGAUAAUUGUUUUGAUGCCAAAUGGUCCCGUUCCCCCCUCUUCCCCCUCCCCAGUGCUCUUCAUACAGUUUAUACAAAUUACAUCCUUAAACAAGAGGGACAAAAACUGCUUUGAUUUGGUUUCUUUUGAAGAUAUCUACAUAGAAUCCUGCACGUUGGUGGCUGGGGACACCUCCACUGAGGUGUCGUGGGUUUUGGCCUGGGAUGUGUGGGGUCCCCCCUGGCGCACCCCAGGAUGGGGAUGGGGAUAGGGACAGGAAUGGGGAUGGGGAGGUUGCUCCUGCACGAGGAAGGGCUCUGGGUGCUUUGGGGGCUCGCAGUGUUUUCGGGAGCCGGUUCUUUGGAUGUCCAGGAGAUGGAGCAGUGUUUCUGUGGCCUCUGCUGCCGGUGCCCCUAACGAGCCAGUCUGUCUGAACUCGGAAUGAAUUUUGUUCCCUUUUCAUCACUCUCUGAUGUCCAGCUGCUCCUGUCAACACCUUCUUAUAGCAUGUAAUUCAUCGCUCAGACUGACAGCUGGGGCCGUGGGCCUGGGACCAGCUCCUCCUGCCAUCGGCUGCACCCAGAGAGGGUCCCUGCCCUGUGCGAGGGCUUCCCUCACCCCCCUCCUGCACCUGGGGCUCGUGAACUCUCCGAAGGAUUCCCGAGACAAAACCAGGAGCAGCCCGGCUUGCUGAGGAGCCUCUGGGGGAGGCUGGGGGAGAAUACCUCCCUCCCAGGCCCCCUGGGGCUGGAGGAGGCUAAUGAGAAGGCAGGGAGGUGGCUGAGGCCUUGCAGGCUGCUCCCCGCAGGGCGGCGGUGCUGCCUGAGCUGCAGCACCCCAUCCCUCUUUCCCUGGGUUUGGGCUCGUUCUGGCUGUGGGAUGAAACCAGAGCGACCUCCUGCCCAGAUUUCUGGGUUUACUACCCGAAAACAAGCACUGCCUGUUGCCCCAAGCCACCCCCAAAAUGCACCUAGCAGGGCUUGCUGAUGCCACAGUGCACAAAAGCACGCAACUGCCGUACAACACCUAAUUCCUCUGGAGCCAACCCCCUGCCCAAACCCCCUCUUCCCUUCUGUCUACCAGCCAGUUUCUAAUAAUUAUCCUUUAACUCAGCACUUCUGCCUUCAAUUCUCCUCCUGCACCUUCCUGUCUCCCUAUAAUUUAUUCUAUAUUUCACCCAUUUCUUGUCCUCAUUUAUAAUUCUUCUUUAUUUUAUUACUUUGCAUAAUUUCCUUUUAGGAUUUGUCAUAAAAUAAAUUCUGCCACCUCGGUCUUCUCAUUUCUGCUCUCAAGUGUCAGCACGCGCUCUCCUGCAGCGGCUCCUGACGCCUUCCCGGCCCCGAUGCUGCAGCUACCCCAACCCUGGGGGACCUGGAAGGGACCCCGGUUUCAGAAGGGCCUUUCCAAAUGAAUCAAAGCCCUGAAUGGUCUCUGGAAAGGUGAGAGUGUAGGUAACUUCAGGGUGAACCUCCAACCAGUUUUUUUUCUGUGGUGAAAUUCUGGCAUGUGUGGAAUCAACACUGCAAGAUUGCCCAAAUCUGAGUUAAAAACACCGAUGAGUGAAUGAAGAAGCGGAGGAGAAAAGCUGCUGGUGUACCUGAUGUGGUCCAUUUUGGCCAUAUCGAUGCAUUUCCCAUUCUCUUCACUCUCCAAUCUGCCCUGGGAGGUUGGAAAGCAGGUGGGGAAACUGAGGCAUGAAGCUCUAAUCCAGGUCCUUUGAGGCUCUUAGAUACCUGGCUCCCUUUAAAACCAACAGGAAUGAAACAUCUGACGUUUUUGAUGGUGUGAGUCCAAGUCAAGCGUUCAGAGUCACACAGGACACUUGCAGAAACGUGAUACAGAAAAAUGAAUGAGAAUUUCCUGUGAUUCAUCCCAGAACCUGAAAACCUGAAUCUUUACCUGAAAGGUGGCCUGGCAGGAGGGAGAUCCAAGCACUUGGAGGAGCUGCACCACACCUCAGUACACCCCAUCACCCAGGAAAAUAAAAACUAUCCAUGGGGAGCUGGAGUCCAAACAGUGUUGUCUGCUGUUACGUCUCCUGGAGCAGCAGGUGGACCUGGUGCUUUCAGGGUGCAGCCAUGGGAGCAUGAACAACUUCAAUGCAGAGUCAAGAAUUUAGGAAAAGUGUAAGAAUCCCGAUUCCUAUAGAGGUUCAAAGCAAUCAAAUCCCAGCCCCAGUAAUGUCCUCCCUUCCUGAAAGCCCCAUUUCCCCUGUGGAAACAAAAAGGUCCCACUCCUGCACACAACUGGAGCAGAGUUUUGGGCCACGCCCAGAGGAGGCUCUGCAGGGAACCAGGAGGCUGUGGUUCAUUUCAUUUUUAUGUAAGAGUCCUGAUUGGAGAAAAUGGAAAUGAAUGAAAGCAUCCUCUCUGUGCCCAAAAUUUGUCAUGGUUUCUCCAGCUGCAGGCAUCUUACCUAUUUUGAAAAUUUUCAGGUUAUGACAUAGUCUGGUAAGGUCUGCGAACCCUUUUGAGGGAUAUUUUUUGAAUGAAUCCAGGCCAAAAGAUGGCUUUGUGUGUGAAAACCACAUGGUCUCAUUUGCCAUUCCUUUGAUUUUAAGAUUCACUUGGAUUCAAAGUUCAAAGUGAGACCUGUGAAAACAAACCCUCAGACAGCUUGGGAUAGAAAGCAUCCUCCUGGUUCCUUGUGCUGGAAGAAAACCUCCAGCUUCAUCUUCCCAACGCGUUUUGUUUUGUUUUGUUUUGUGUGUGUGUGUUGUGUUUUUUUUUUCUAAUAUGGAGAAAUCCCUGUGUGGUUUGGGUUUGCGAGAAGGAUUUUCCCUUCAUGCGCUGCCACAACAACUGAGAUCAGCUGAGGCACUCAAGUGAACGGAUCCUGGAUGUAAUUGUCUGAGGGCCAGCGGCCAGGUUUUGUCAGAAGAGGGUCCGGUUGGCCGGCUUUCAGUCCCACCUCUGCCUUGACAGAGCCUGUCUCCUUUAAUCAUUAGAGUUCAGUGCACGGCUUUUGCCUGGCACGAGUUGGGAUUUCAUUUGUUUUGGAGGAAGAUUGCUUCUUUUGUUAGUUGAGGUCUUUUGGUUCCAGUUGUGUAAACUGGGACGAGGCGAUCCCAUUGGCUCCGAGCAGCUUACGGCCGGGGGAAGUCUGGCCCGCUAUUCACUUUUGGGGGUUGGUUUUUAAUCUUAGAAACACCAUUCUUGUGCCUAUGGAAGCAUUCUUGCGUCUGUAAUGAGGCACGUUUUAUGAAUUGAGAACAAAAUGAAUGCGUGUUUCUCCCAAACUCGGAGCAGUCAACACAAACUCAGCAGCACAAACUGAGUUCCCAAGUUUCUGGAUUUAUUCCGAUGAAAGUGAAUGUUGCGUUAUUACAGCCUUGCAAAACUCCAGUUAAUUUACGGUGGUGUAAAAUCCAUUUUUUUAAUGACUGUGACACUGCCAAAAUCUUUGCAGAUGCAGAAACAGCUUCGCAGGAGAAUUUCAAUCUAACAUCAACAGGAGAUUUGGAAGAUGAAUUGUGCAAGGGUCUCCUUCCUCCAAAGAUGCUGCUUUGUUUUGCUUUUUAGCAUUUGGUCUGGCUCUAAUAUUGUCUGUUUUAUGAUGUUUUAAUUAUUGUUGUUUAUUUAUUAUAAUCAUAUUUUAAUUGUUUGUGUAGUGCCUUGAGUGCCUUGGCAGGGGGGCACAUUAUAAAUUAAAUUAUUAUUAAAAAGUUGUUAUUAUGUGUACCUACUCCAAACUGAGCUAGAGCAGGGAAUGCAUUCAACUGCCUGGAAUUAAUUUACCCCUUUUAUUUUCCUUUGUCUUCUCUCUACUCAAGAGCAUAGUUCAAAGGGUUGGAGAGAGAAAAUGAGGUUUCUCUGCUGCCUCCUGGGGCUGGGUGAGAUGAGGGGAGCUCUGCUCUUGGCUCCCUUGGGUGCUGGGGAUGAAGUUAGGGAAACGAUGUGCUCUGUGGGCAAGGCAGGGAGGGCAGUUAUUUUCUAAAGCUUUUCUGCCUCUUCCCCCUCCUAGAGAGCAGGUUGCUGGAAAAGGCUGGUUGAUAUUUGCUGCAUUAUAGCAGGAUUCGCUAACUGUUAAGCUAAAAGGGGACUGUCAUGUGUGCUCGUGGUGUGCUUGCAGGGAAGGAAGGGGCUGCCAGCUCCGGUGGCCAGGUGAGGAUGGCAGGGAGGAUGAGGAUGGCUCCCGUCCAAGCCCUGCUUCUCGUGUCCUGACCUUUCUGGUUUGCUGCAGAUGUCACCGUGCCCACCAGCAGGGUCCCCAGCAGCCCAGAGAAAUCCCAGCUGGGGAGGCCGCAGCUCUCAGGAUGGCAGCCAAGGACUCAGCCAUCCUUUCCCAUUGCUGCUGCACCAGGUAGAGGCCACAGCUCCUCCACUUCUGCUCUGACCUCAGAGGGGUUUCCAUUGACCAGUGAUUUUCUCAAGGCUGGUGACAGGGAGGACACAGCAAAACACCCUCACCCCAGGACCAAAUAGGUCCCUUUUGGGAUGAAGCCAGUGGAGAGACAGAUUCCCUCCAGUUUAUUCUCAUUUACCACCCACAGGUUUUGCCCUGUCCCAAUGCAGCCUGGCUGUUGGUGUUGCAGCACAAGCAGGUAACCCUCCCCUGGGACAACCAGCUCUGGCAGGACUGGGACCCAGAUCAAAGGUCACCAGAUGUUCAGACUAACUGGUCCACCAAGGCUCCCCACCCAUGGAAGAGAAGGAUUUUUCCCUCCCUCAGACCUCCUCCCCACUUGCCCGGAGGCUCAGGUAUGGACUAUGGAUCAUUCUCCAGGAAUAAUCACCCUGCUGCUCCUCACAGACGUGCUGCAGGGAUGCUAGAGCUGGGGAGGCGCUCGGUGAUAUGAUGAUGGGAGCCACACAAACACGUUGAUGGCUGAGUGAUAAUGUGAAGGUCCCUGCUACGUUAGCUGUCAGUUUGCUAACGAAUAUUAAGAGACAGAUGUCAUAUGAGCAUCUCUACACUUUGGAGCUGGUGGCAAACUUCACACCUCCAGCUCUCCUAAUAAGACAGUAUUUCAUCCGGCAGUACCCCACUCAAAAUGCUUAUUAUAGCUAGGCUGAUAAGUACUCAGAUCUCAUUAUUUAUCUAUAUGCUUUAUUUUGAAUAGAUAAUUGAAAAAAAAAAAUACUUAAAAGGGCAGCAAUAUAGUCCUAACAUUUAGGAAUAAAACUGUGAUUUUGAUUUAUUCCAGUUCGUGGGCCCCUGAACAAAGUUUUCCAGCAGAGGCCCCAACUUCUUUGUGCUUGCUCUGGAGCAUAAAGAUCUUGCUUUAUUUCACGGCCUUCUACAGACCUCAGUUCACAACCCGCAGGAGUCUGGAGGCCACAGUUUGGAAACCACAGGGAUGGAGAGAAAUGGUUUUGGUGCCUGCUUUGGGCACUGCUGUUCAGCCUCUGAUCUCCUUCCUCCAGGAGGAGAGAGCUCCCUGGGGAGCCCCAGCCGGGGCUCAGCUGCUGCCCUUCUCCACAUGCACUCCCUCGUCUGCAUCCCCCUUGAUGGGGAGGGAGCUGCCAUCGCCCCCGUCCCUCCACAAAGCCCUCGUAAUCCUGCACCCGGGGGCCAUUUAGCCCUGUCUGCCUGGUUUGUGGCUCAGCAUUGAAGGGUCCUAAUUUGGUGUCAUGUACACAGUGGGCACAGGGGCAGGGCAGGUCUCCCAAGGGCUGUGGUCGCCUCCUGAUUUUAUGCCAGCAGAAAUGUUGAGCCUUUUCCCGUCCCUGCCCCUCCAGUCCCCAAUGUGGAGGCAAAAAAAAAGACUGGGAAAGGGUAUUUGAACCCAACACCAUCAGCUGUGUUGUUAUUGUGCAUCUGUUUUCUUCCUCUCGACAUCCAGGCUUAAGGUUUUAACAUUAUUUUGUUUGUUCAUGGUCAUUAUGUAAUUGAUGCUUAUGUGGCUUAAACACUUUGAGCUCGUCUGACUUUCUGGUUCUGUAAUAGGGCAAGUAACCCUGUACCUGGAUAAAAUUAGCUUUAGACUCUCUACACUAUGUGCUAUGUAUCUUCAUGUCUUUAAAGAGAACAUUUGGGUGCGUUUGGCUUUGAACACGAUGCAACUUCCUUUUCUUGCCCUCUGCACCCAACCUUGCUGUCGUACCCAGCCCCACUUACCUUGUCUCUGCCCUUCCCACUAAUCUGCCUCCAGGGGGACUUCUCCCAAGGCUGCAGACCCCCGUGGGCAUGGGAAAGGGGUCUUUUUGAAACCAUGUGCCCAGAGGUGGGCUCCCUCCACCCACCUGCACCAGCUCCCUCCCCUGCUCACAGCCCUGCACAUGCAGGUUUCGGUCCCACGUCCCUCUACCCAGCCCUGCCGCAUGGGAGAAGCCACCUCCCACAUGCCAUGAGGACUCAGACCUGGAGAUUUGCACCUCGAGUCCUUCCACGGAUUCUCCUGGAUUUAUAUGAGGGCAGGAUGUGGCCUGCAGAGUUUAACAAUGGUUGUUAACCUUGACUGUGAUCAAAUUAGACCAGAGCA